ACGGAUUCCGGCUUUGUCACCAGGCUGGAGUGCGCUGGCCCAAUCUUGGCUUACUGCAGCCUCCACCUCCUGGGUUCAAGCGAUUCUUCCUCCUCAGCCUCCGGAGUAUCUGGGACCACAGGGAUCCGUAAUACAGUUGGCCCCUAAUUGAAUGGAAGCAUCACUUUCAAAGCAUCACUGCAGGAUGAGUAUUUUGUGUCAAGUGGAUUCAAGGGACAGUGCGAAGGAUCCAUGGCCUCAGUCGUGAAGACCCUCCCAAGAGCCAACCGUCCUGGGCACAUAUAAAUGAGUGGAGACAUGGAACUCACCCUUACAAGGCCUAGAACCUGACAGAGCAUACAAGACUGAAGCCCAAAUAACCAAGAACAGGAAGCUGAAGUCCCCUUAUAGGUCACCUAUGGGGAAUUGCCUAGGCCCCAGGGCUGGCCUCAUUUGUGCCUGGUGCCGGGAGGCAGUGGCAUCAUGUUGUGGGACUCAGUCUGUGGCAGCUACACCACCAGAAUCCACGACUGCAGAGCCUGCCAUUUUACAUCCCGGAGUGGUGGAGGUCCAGCACGUGCAGCCCAAGUCAAAGCGGCGCAAAGGUUUGGCUGGCCGUGUGAGGAGCUGGGUACAAAAACGGAGGCGUAAAAAAAAUUGCCCCACUGCAAAUGAAGCUCCUCUUCAAGACCCAAAGGAGUUUACACGUGAAAACCUUAAGGAGACAUCACCUGACAUAGAGAAGCCUGCAGCCCAGUAUCGCCACUGUGGUGUUCAGGUCUCAGAGGACCUCAUUUUGCAAGACAUGGAAGACCAUGAGCUACCCCGUGAUGUGGAGAAGCCCGCCGCUUGGUGUCACCGCCGUCCCGUUGAGGUCCCACAGGACCUCAUAUUAGAAGACAUUGAGGAUGAUGAGCUACCCCGUGAUGUGGAGAAGCCCGCCGCUUGGUGUCACCGCCGUACGUAUUCUUUUUCUUUUAAACAGUUACCGAGACGUAGUGCGUAUGCAAACAAAUUCACUUAUUUAAAGUAG
rnacentral:lncRNA from 1 species